UCCCCUUAGCGCCGGCCUUGUCUGAAAGACCGAAGCACACGACUGACUGACAAGGCUGCGGAGUACCGCACGCUGGCAAGGCCACGCAACGCUGGCUCUAACGACACCAAGAGUUGGAUCUUUCUUACAAGUAGAACAGAAGGAGGCAGAUGUGGGCUAUCAAAGAUAUGGAAUGGCUUUUAGAGAAGAAAUCAAAUCGUUUUGGAUUCUUCAGCCUCAAAAAGAGAUGGCUGGAGUCUAUGUGGUGAAACCGUGAGAGGCAUGGGAUGGAGAAGUUCAACCUACCGAAGACAUGUGGCAAAUGCUCUCCUGGCAUUUCUGUAUACAAAAUGGAUAGGAAACCCUUUAAAAGUGUGGCCAUCAGGUACCGCUCUUCUUACAGCAUCUUGAAACUCUUCGUUUCCUGCAGAUAGACUUGUUGUACGUUCGAGCUCAUAGGCUGCUAAUGCUGGUGACAACAGAUAGGAUAGAUGGUCAUCCCAAACAGUGGAAAGGCCAAGAUCCUGUGAGGCAAGUCACAGAAUGAUGACAACUGCGCAGAAUGAACAUUAGGAUAUGACUAAGCUUGCAUACUGUACAGAUUCAAAUAAACCCAUGACAAAUCUUUAA